CCUACGGGAGGCUGCAGUGGGGAAUAUUGGACAAUGGGGGGAACCCUGAUCCAGCCAUGCCGCGUGUGUGAAGAAGGCCCUCGGGUUGUAAAGCACUUUCAGUGAGGAAGAACGCCUGGUGGUUAAUACCCAUCAGGAAAGACAUCACUCACAGAAGAAGCACCGGCUAACUCCGUGCCAGCAGCCGCGGUAAUACGGAGGGUGCGAGCGUUAAUCGGAAUUACUGGGCGUAAAGCGCGCGUAGGUGGCUUGAUAAGCCGGUUGUGAAAGCCCCGGGCUCAACCUGGGAACGGCAUCCGGAACUGUCAAGCUAGAGUGCAGGAGAGGAAGGUAGAAUUCCCGGUGUAGCGGUGAAAGGCGUAGAGAUCGGGAGGAAUACCAGUGGCGAAGGCGGCCUUCUGGACUGACACUGACACUGAGGUGCGAAAGCGUGGGUAGCAAACAGGAUUAGAUACCCCAGUAGUC
rnacentral:rRNA from 1 species